GGGUUGUGAGGUUAAGCGACUAAGCGUACACGGUGGAUGCCCUGGCAGUCAGAGGCGAUGAAGGACGUGCUAAUCUGCGAUAAGCGCCGGUAAGGUGAUAUGAACCGUUAUAACCGGCGAUUUCCGAAUGGGGAAACCCAGUGUGACUCGUCACACUAUCAUUAACUGAAUCCAUAGGUUAAUGAGGCGAACCGGGGGAACUGAAACAUCUAAGUACCCCGAGGAAAAGAAAUCAACCGAGAUUCCCCCAGUAGCGGCGAGCGAACGGGGAGGAGCCCAGAGCCUGAAUCAGCAUGUGUGUUAGUGGAAGCGUCUGGAAAGGCGCGCGAUACAGGGUGACAGCCCCGUACACAAAAGCGCAUGUGUUGUGAGCUCGAUGAGUAGGGCGGGACACGUGGUAUCCUGUCUGAAUAUGGGGGGACCAUCCUCCAAGGCUAAAUACUCCUGACUGACCGAUAGUGAACCAGUACCGUGAGGGAAAGGCGAAAAGAACCCCGGCGAGGGGAGUGAAAAAGAACCUGAAACCGUGUACGUACAAGCAGUGGGAGCCCCACCACUAAGCCAGUGGUGAACUCCACAUACGCAUCCUUUGCUGAAGGUGCGGUUAACGGAGCGCAAGCGACGUUCAACCUCAAAAGAAGCAGAGGGGGCUUAG
rnacentral:rRNA from 1 species